GGAGGGGGGCAGUCAGUACCUCUGCUCAGCUCGAUGCUGUACUUGUUUUCCAGUCCCUCGAAGGCAAUCGCGAUCAUGAACUGCAGGAAAAGGGCGUCCUUCUGCAACACAACAGUGUCCACGUCAACAUAGGACAACACACUCGGACCCGGACCGACACACGGGCACACUGAGUAAAACACACAGCCUGACACACUGAGCACUACACGCAGGCUGAGACACACACAGCCUGACACACUGAGCAAUACACGCAGGCUGAGACACACACAGCCUGACACACUGAGCACUACACCCAGGCUGAGUCACACACAGCCUGACACACUGAGCAGUACACCCAGGCUGAGACACACACAGCCUGACACACUGGUAUACCGCCUAUGCGAGCUGGUUUGUGUUUACCCGUCAGUAUGUGUCGGUCAGACACACAGACCCACUGCCUGACACACUGGCAGUGCACACAGACCGACUCACACAAGGACACAACACAGCCAGUCUGGCAGAGAAGCUGACCUGGGUUUUCUGAAAGAACUCAUUGUUGAUGACGACAUCGUAGGCUGUACAGCCCUGAGAGCCUGGAAGACAGAUGAACAGAUGACCAGAGACGGACAGGCAGCCAGACAGGCAGGCAGACUGAGGUCAAGAGAGAUGAAGGGACAGAGACAGAGAGACAGGCUGAGAGAUGAGAGAGGGACAGAGAGACAGGCUGAGAGAUGGAGAGAGAGAGAGGCGUACAGAGGGGCAGAGAGAGGGA
rnacentral:lncRNA from 1 species